rnacentral:rRNA from 1 species
UACGGAGGAUGCGAGCGUUAUCCGGAUUUAUUGGGUUUAAAGGGUGCGCAGGCGGAGGUGCAAGUCAGCGGUCAAAUUGCGGGGCUCAACCCCGUACUGCCGUUGAAACUGCAUCCCUUGAGUGCGCGAGAAGUAUGCGGAAUGCGUGGUGUAGCGGUGAAAUGCAUAGAUAUCACGCAGAACUCCGAUUGCGAAGGCAGCUCACUGGACUGCAACUGACACUGAGGCUCGAAAGUGUGGGUAUCAAACAGG